rnacentral:rRNA from 1 species
GAUGAACGCUGGCGGCGUGCCUAAUACAUGCAAGUCGAGCGAACAGAUGAGGAGCUUGCUCCUCUGACGUUAGCGGCGGACGGGUGAGUAACACGUGGAUAACCUACCCAUAAGACUGGGAUAACUUCGGGAAACCGGAGCUAAUACCGGAUAAUAUAUUGAACCGCAUGGUUCAAUAGUGAAAGACGGUUUUGCUGUCACUUAUAGAUGGAUCCGUGCCGCAUUAGCUAGUUGGUAAGGUAACGGCUUACCAAGGCAACGAUGCGUAGCCGACCUGAGAGGAGAACUGCCAGCCAUGGAGCUGAGACACGCUACGUGGCCCAACGGGAGGACGAAGAGGGAAAUCUGCCGCAAGGGCGAAAGCCUGACGGAGCAACGCCGCGUGAGUGAUGAAGAUCUUCGGAUCGUAAAACUCUGUUAUUAGGGAAGAACAAAUGUGUAAGUAACUAUGCACGUCCUGACGGUACCUAAUCAGAAAGCCACGGCUAACUACGUG